CGUAGGACGAACGCUGGCGGCGUGCCUAAUACAUGCAAGUCGAGCGCGGGAAGCGGACUCGUCACCCUUCGGGGUGUCUAGUCCGUGGAACGAGCGGCGGAUGGGUGAGUAUCACGUGGGCAACCUGCCUGUAAGAUUGGGAUAACUCGCGGAAACGUGAGCUAAUACCGAAUGAAGUCUUUCACCGCCUGGUGAAAGGAUGAAAGAUGGCUUUUAGCUAUCACUUACAGAUGGGCCCGCGGCGCAUUAGCUAGUUGGUGGGGUAAAGGCCUACCAAGGCGACGAUGCGUAGCCGACCUGAGAGGGUGAUCGGCCACACUGGGACUGAGACACGGCCCAGACUCCUACGGGAGGCAGCAGUAGGGAAUCUUCCGCAAUGGACGAAAGUCUGACGGAGCAACGCCGCGUGAGUUGAUGAAGGUCUUCGGAUCGUAAAAACUCUGUUGUCAGGGAAGAACAAGUUGUGUUCUAACAGGACAUGACCUUGACGGUACCUGACCAGAAAGCCCCGGCUAACUACGUGCCAGCAGCCGC
rnacentral:rRNA from 1 species